rnacentral:rRNA from 1 species
AUUGAACGCUGGCGGCAUGCCUUACACAUGCAAGUCGAACGGCAGCACGGGAGCUUGCUCCUGGUGGCGAGUGGCGAACGGGUGAGUAAUACAUCGGAACGUACUCUGAAGUGGGGGAUAACGUAGCGAAAGUUACGCUAAUACCGCAUAUUCUGUGAGCAGGAAAGAGGGGGAUCGCAAGACCUCUUGCUUUAGGAGCGGCCGAUGUCGGAUUAGCUAGUUGGUGAGGUAAAGGCUCACCAAGGCGACGAUCCGUAGCGGGUCUGAGAGGAUGAUCCGCCACACUGGGACUGAGACACGGCCCAGACUCCUACGGGAGGCAGCAGUGGGGAA